rnacentral:rRNA from 1 species
GAUGAACGCUGGCGGCGUGCCUAAUACAUGCCAGUCGAGCGAACAGACGAGGAGCUUGCUCCUCUGAUGUUAGCGGCGGACGGGUGAGUAACACGUGGAUAACCUACCUAUAAGACUGGGAUAACUUCGGGAAACCGGAGCUAAUACCGGAUAACAUGUUGAACCGCAUGGUUCAACAGUGAAAGACGGUCUUGCUGUCACUUAUAGAUGGAUCCGCGCCGCAUUAGCUAGUUGGUAAGGUAACGGCUUACCAAGGCAACGAUGCGUAGCCGACCUGAGAGGGUGAUCGGCCACACUGGAACUGAGACACGGUCCAGACCCCUACGGGAGGCAGCAGUAGGGAAUCUUCCGCAAUGGGCGAAAGCCUGACGGAGCAACGCCGCGUGAGUGAAGAAGGUCUUCGGAUCGUAAAACUCUGUUAUUAGGGAAGAACAAAUGUGUAAGUAGCUAUGCACGUCUUGACGGUACCUAAUCAGAAAGCCACGGCUAACUACGUG